UACAGAGGGUGCGAGCGUUGUUCGGAAUUAUUGGGCGUAAAGGGCGCGUAGGCGGCGCCACAAGUCACCUGUGAAAACUCUGGGCUCAACCCAGAGCCUGCAGGCGAAACUGUGGUGCUGGAGUAUGGGAGAGGUGCGUGGAAUUCCGAGUGUAGAGGUGAAAUUCGUAGAUAUUCGGAAGAACACCAGUGGCGAAGGCGGCUCACUGGCCCGUUACCGACGCUCAGGUGCGACAGCGUGGGGAGCAAACAGG
rnacentral:rRNA from 1 species